rnacentral:rRNA from 1 species
CAGCAGUCGCCGCGGGAAUACGAAGGGUGCAAGCGUUACUCGGAAUUACUGGGCGUAAAGCGUGCGUAGGUGGUGGUUUAAGUCCGUUGUGAAAGCCCUGGGCUCAGCCUGGGAAUUGCAGUGGAUACUGGGUCACUAGAGUGUGGUAGAGGAUAGUGGAAUUUCCGGUGUAGCAGUGAAAUGCGUAGAGAUCGGAAGGAACAUCUGUGGCGAAGGCGACUAUCUGGGCCAACACUGACACUGAGGCACGAAAGCGUGGGGAGCAAACAGGAUUAGAUACCCGCGUAGUCCCUGUCUCUUAUAC